rnacentral:rRNA from 1 species
AUUGAACGCUGGCGGCAGGCCUAACACAUGCAAGUCGAACGAGUGGCGGACGGGUGAGUAAUGUCUGGGAAACUGCCUGUUGGAGGGGGAUAACUACUGGAAACGGUAGCUAAUACCGCAUACCAUCAGAUUUGCCCAGAUGGGAUUAGCUAGUGGGUGGGGUAACGGCUCACCAAGGCGACGACCCCUGGCGGGUCUGAGAGGAUGACCAGCCACACGGGAACUGAGACACGGUCCAGACUCCUACGGGAGGCAGAAGUGGGUAAUAUUGCACAAGGGGCGAAAGCCUGAGGCAGCCAGGCCGCGUGUAUGAAGAAGGCCUUCGGGUGGUAAACUACUUUAAGCGGGGAGGCGUUACCCGAAGAGGAAGCACCGGCUAACUCCGUGCCAGCAGCCGCGGUAAUAC